GCCAGUGUGGCACAGUGGUUUGAGCAUUGGCCUAUGAUUCUGGAGUCCAGGGUUCAAUUCCCAGCUCAGCCA